UACGUAGGGGGCAAGCGUUGUCCGGAAUCAUUGGGCGUAAAGAGCUCGUAGGCGGUCUGUUACGUCUGCUGUGAAAACCCGGGGCUUAACCCCGGGCUUGCAGUGGAUACGGGCAGGCUAGAGUUCGGUAGGGGAGACUGGAAUUCCUGGUGUAGCGGUGAAAUGCGCAGAUAUCGGGAGGAACACCGGUGGCGAGGACGGCGAUCCUGGACCGGUAUUGACGCUGAGGUGCGAAAGUGCGGGGAGCAAACAGG
rnacentral:rRNA from 1 species